UUGAACGCUGGCGGCAUGCUUUACACAUGCAAGUCGAACGGCAGCGGGGGCUUCGGCCUGCCGGCGAGUGGCGAACGGGUGAGUAAUGCAUCGGAACGUACCCAGUCGUGGGGGAUAACUACGCGAAAGCGUGGCUAAUACCGCAUACGCCCUGAGGGGGAAAGCGGGGGACCUUCGGGCCUCGCGCGAUUGGAGCGGCUGGUGUCGGAUUAGCUAGUUGGUGGGGUAAAGGCCUACCAAGGCGACGAUCCGUAGCUGGUCUGAGAGGAUGAUCAGCCACACUGGGACUGAGACACGGCCCAGACUCCUACGGGAGGCAGCAGUGGGGAAUUUUGGACAAUGGGCGCAAGCCUGAUCCAGCCAUGCCGCGUGAGUGAAGAAGGCCUUCGGGUUGUAAAGCUCUUUCAGACGGAAAGAAACGGUCUUCUCUAAUAAAGGGGGCUAAUGACGGUACCGUAAGAAUAAGCACCGGCUAACUACGU
rnacentral:rRNA from 1 species